rnacentral:rRNA from 1 species
ACAUGCCUACAACAUAGUGUUAAUGCAUCGGAUCCCAUUAGAACUCUGCAGUUAAACGCGCUCAGGCUAGAGUAGCACUGGGAUGGGGGACUGCUCAGGAAGUCCUAGUGUUUCACAUGCC